rnacentral:rRNA from 1 species
UAGGGAAUAUUAGAAAUGGACGAAAGUCUGAUCUAGCAACACCGCGUGUGCGAAGAAGGCCUUCGGGUCGUAAAGCACUUUUUGGAAGGAAUAGGAAGGAAUGUACUUCCAGUAUAAGUCUCGGCUAACUACGUGCCAGCAGCCGCGGUAACACGUAGGAGGCGAACGUUAUCCGGAUUUACUGGGCGUAAAGCGCGUGUAGGUGGUUCUGUAAGUAGGGCGUGAAAGCUCCUGGCUCAACUGGGAGAGGCCGUUCUAAACUACAGAACUAGAGGAUGGUAGAGGGAGGUGGAAUUCCAGGUGUAGCGGUGGAAUGCGCAGAUAUCUGGAGGAACACCAGUGGCGAAGGCGGCCUCCUGGACCAUUCCUGACACUCAGACGCGAAAGCUAGGGUAGCAAACG